rnacentral:rRNA from 17 species
AUCUCAGCUUAAGCAAGAGGACCCGCCGAAUUUAAGCAUAUAAUUAAGCGGAGGAAAAGAAACUAACCAGGAUUCCCU